UAGGGGGAGUCCGGGAGAGUUUACCAGGAGGGAGACUAUAGCCACGGCUCAUAAAAACUUUGUGUCUCUAUGUAUUAAGAGAUGGCUCCACUUCUUGGAAGUCAUACGCUCACCCCGAGAUUCUCCCGCGACAUCAUUGCGCUUUUCAGUUGGAUUUAGGAAUGCGAAGUGAUAACGUGGUUUCGUGUCUGGUGAGUGAUUUUUUCCGAUUUUUAACAUUUCAUUGCUGUUGUUUUGUAUCCAUAGAUUCAAAUUAAUGAACACUCAAAAUGCCCUUCCAGUAUAAGAAAAAAGAUUCAACAAGGAACAGGAGUAAUUUGAAUUUAUCAGUGAUAAAAAAUGCUUUAGAUGAUGUUGACAAAGGAAAAUCUAUUAGAGGUGCUGCUAUGGAGUAUGGAAUAGAUAGAAUAGAAUGUUGAAUCAGCUUCAUCAUCAACUAUACAACACAUUUCAGAGCCUUCGACAUCUGCAUCGGGGAUCGCGGUCACUGCGCAAGAAGUGGUAUCUAGAGCUAGUUCAGAUAUUAAAAAUGCAGAAUCCGGGAUAGGUCUGAAAUCAAAAAUGAUUUUGCCAGAAGUAAUUAGACCUUUUCCAAAAUCUGCUCCCAGAAAAACUAUUCGUCGUGGAAGACAGCCAGGAAAAACUAAAAUUUUGACUAAAACACCAGAAAAAUUCGAUUUGAGUGUUAAUGACGAACCGAAGGAAAAAAAAAUUAAAAUGGAAACAACAAAGGCUAAAACAAA